UGGGGAAUAUUGCGCAAUGGGGGAAACCCUGACGCAGCAACGCCGCGUGAUCGAAGAAGGUCUUCGGAUUGUAAAGAUCUUUUAUCAGGGACGAAGAAAGUGACGGUACCUGAUGAAUAAGCUCCGGCUAACUACGUGCCAGCAGCCGCGGUAAUACGUAGGGAGCAAGCGUUAUCCGGAUUUAUUGGGUGUAAAGGGUGCGUAGACGGGACAACAAGUUAGUUGUGAAAUCCCUCGGCUUAACUGAGGAACUGCAACUAAAACUAUUGUUCUUGAGUGUUGGAGAGGAAAGUGGAAUUCCUAGUGUAGCGGUGAAAUGCGUAGAUAUUAGGAGGAACACCGGUGGCGAAGGCGACUUUCUGGACAAUGACUGACGUUGAGGCACGAAAGUAGUGGGGA
rnacentral:rRNA from 1 species